AGCAGCCGCGGUAAUUCCAGCUCCAAUAGCGUAUAUUAAAGUUGUUGCAGUUAAAAAGCUCGUAGUUGAAUUUCGGGAUUCUAUCGUUGGUCAGGCUACUGUCUGUACUGGCGUGUAGAAUUUUUACCUUCUGGGGAACUAUCAUGUUAUUAAUUUAGCGUGGUAGGAAACCAGGACCUUUACCUUGAAAAAUUAGAGUGUUCAAAGCAGGCUUAUGUCUGAAUACAUUAGCAUGGAAUAAUAAAAUAGGACGGUGGUCCUGUUUUGUUGGUUUCUGAAUCACCGUAAUGAUUAAUAGGGAUAGUUGGGGGCAUUAGUAUUCAAUUGUCAGAGGUGAAAUUCUUGGAUUUAUUGAAGACUAACUACUGCGAAAGCAUUUGCCAAGGAUGUUUUCAUUAAUCAAGAACGAAAGUUAGGGGAUCGAAGACGAUCAGAUACCGUCGUAGUCUU
rnacentral:rRNA from 1 species